GACGAACGCUGGCGGCACGCUUAACACAUGCAAGUCGAACGAGAGAAGAGAAGCUUGCUUUUCUGAUCUAGUGGCGGACGGGUGAGUAACACGUGAGCAAUCUGCCUUUCAGAGGGGGAUACCGAUUGGAAACGAUCGUUAAUACCGCAUAACAUAAUUGAACCGCAUGAUUUGAUUAUCAAAGAUUUAUCGCUGAAAGAUGAGCUCGCGUCUGAUUAGCUAGUUGGUAAGGUAACGGCUUACCAAGGCGACGAUCGGUAGCCGGACUGAGAGGUUGAUCGGCCACAUUGGGACUGAGACACGGCCCAGACUCCUACGGGAGGCAGCAGUGGGGAAUAUUGCACAAUGGAGGAAACUCUGAUGCAGCGAUGCCGCGUGAGGGAAGAAGGUUUUAGGAUUGUAAACCUCUGUCUUCAGGGACGAAAAAAGACGGUACCUGAGGAGGAAGCUCCGGCUAACUACGUG
rnacentral:rRNA from 1 species